rnacentral:rRNA from 1 species
AUUGAACGCUGGCGGCAGGCCUAACACAUGCAAGUCGAACGGUAACAGGAAGAAGCUUGCUUCUUUGCUGACGAGUGGCGGACGGGUGAGUAAUGUCUGGGAAACUGCCUGAUGGAGGGGGAUAACUACUGGAAACGGUAGCUAAUACCGCAUAACGUCGCAAGACCAAAGAGGGGGACCUUCGGGCCUCUUGCCAUCGGAUGUGCCCAGAUGGGAUUAGCUAGUAGGUGGGGUAACGGCUCACCUAGGCGACGAUCCCUAGCUGGUCUGAGAGGAUGACCAGCCACACUGGAACUGAGACACGGUCCAGACUCCUACGGGAGGCAGCAGUGGGGAAUAUUGCACAAAGGGCGCAAGCCUGAUGCAGCCAUGCCGCGUGUAUGAAGAAGGCCUUCGGGUUGUAAAGUACUUUCAGCGGGGAGGAGGGGAGUAAAGUUAAUACCUUUACUCAUUGACGUUACCCGCAGAAGAAGCACCGGCUAACUCCGUG